rnacentral:tRNA from 1 species
GGUGAUGUAGCUCAGCUGGUUAGAGCGAUGGAUUCAUAAUCCAUAGGUCGAGGGUUCGAGUCCCCCCAUCACCA